UAUGUGGCUUGUGGCUUCUGCCUGGCCCCACCUUGCAAGGAUCCAGAUGCAGGGAACAAACCACAGCACUGUGGUCUCAGAGGUCUCUGCCUGCUCAGACCCACGGUCCACGCCCGGCUGUGACGUGGACACAUCUGCUCCCUCACAGUCCAGGAAAACCGGCCCUAAGCUGGGCAAAUUCUUCCUGUGGGGAUCAGAGCCAGUGAGCAUGCCUGGACAGCAUGUGGGAUGGGGUGUGAGUGCUCAGGGUCAACCCCGCAGAGCCUGGAACGAAUGCCCUGAUCUUUCUGGAGCGUUUCCUGAUGGGGUUUGUGAGGAAUGUCUGCUGGGAGACAUUAUCGUGGCCAAUGUCCAGCCGACCAGAUAUGGGGUGAUCAGUUGUUUGAAGGUGAAAGGUGAAACAGGCGACUUCCUUCACUGCCUUUCUCUGGGAGCACGAUGAGCACUAAUUACCCGCUCACUGCCAAGCUGGCACCCGGCAUGAGCUGUCAGGAGCCUCCAGUCCCUUCCUGAAGCAUGCAGCCCUGGAGAAACUCACACCUGAAAGACACCCUAGCAGUCACCUGGCUCCAUCUUCCCUGCAAUGCACCCAUCCCUCAUGCAGCAUCUUGGGCAAGGAUGAGCAGAGAGCACUGGAUUUGGACUCAGAAAGCCUUUCUGAGCCUCGGUUUCCUCAUCAGUAAAAUGUGGGUUAUACUACCAGCCUCAAAAUGUUGCAGUAGGGAUUAUAUGAGACCCUCUUUCAGCACAUCUCGGGAGGAACACACAAAGCUGGGAGGACCAAUGAUCCGCGGAGAGCAGAGUACAUACUUGUCCCUCCUCGCUGGGGAGAUAUACCUCUUCCACGGGCAACCAUUCACUCUGCUAAUAGCAUGUCUUUAAUGGAUGACAAUCUCUUAAUCCUCUUAGAAAUGACAGAUGGUAAGUCCUACAUUGUUUAGGAAGAACAGGAUGACUAUGUCACACUUACACAACAGUUGGAAUAAAUGGAGUUCGUUAUAAAUAUUAAUCAUCUUUUUACAUAAGCUUGUUCCUUGAGAAGUGACGUAAGAAAUCGAGAGCAUGCCUGCCUAUUCCACAGGUGGAAAGAUCGAGGUGCCAUGUGGUCUAAAAUCUCCCAGCAGGUACUUCUACAAAAAGGGUGUCUUAGUCUGUUCUGACUGUUAUAACAACAUACCAUAAACUAGGUGGCUAGAAAUUUAUUUCUCUCAGUUCUGGAGGCUGGGAAGUCUAAGAUCAAGGUGCGGGCAGAUUUAGUGUCUGGUGAGGGCCCCGUUCCUGGUUCAUAGACGGUGUCUGCUUGCUGGGUUCUCACAUGGUGAAGGGGGAAGGCAGCUCUUUGGGCAUUUUUUUAUGAGACAGAGUCUCACUCUCUCACCCAGGCUGGAGUGCAGUGGCGAGAUGUCAGC